CCUACGGGCGGCUGCAGUGGGGAAUAUUGGACAAUGGGGGCAACCCUGAUCCAGCCAUGCCGCGUGUGUGAAGAAGGCCCUCGGGUUGUAAAGCACUUUCAGUGAGGAAGAACGCCUGGUGGUUAAUACCCAUCAGGAAAGACAUCACUCACAGAAGAAGCACCGGCUAACUCCGUGCCAGCAGCCGCGGUAAUACGGAGGGUGCGAGCGUUAAUCGGAAUUACUGGGCGUAAAGCGCGCGUAGGUGGCUCGAUAAGCCGGUUGUGAAAGCCCCGGGCUCAACCUGGGAACGGCAUCCGGAACUGUCAAGCUAGAGUGCAGGAGAGGAAGGUAGAAUUCCCGGUGUAGCGGUGAAAUGCGUAGAGAUCGGGAGGAAUACCAGUGGCGAAGGCGGCCUUCUGGACUGACACUGACACUGAGGUGCGAAAGCGUGGGUAGCAAACAGGAUUAGAUACCCGAGUAGUC
rnacentral:rRNA from 1 species